AUUGAACGCUGGCGGCAGGCCUAACACAUGCAAGUCGAGCGGAGCGGCGGACGGGUGAGUAAUGCCUAGGAAUCUGCCCGUUAGUGGUGGAUAACGUCCGGAACCGGGCGCUAAUACCGCAUCCUAUCAGAUUUGCCUCGGUCGGAUUCGCUAGUGGUUGGGGUAAAGGCCUACCAAGGCCACGAUCCGUAACUGGUCUGAGAGGAAGAUCAGUCACACUGGAACUGAGACACGGUCCAGACUCCUACGGGAGGCAGCAGUGGGGAAUAUUGGACAAUGGGCGAAAGCCUGAUCCAGCCAUGCCGCGUGUAUGAAGAAGGUCUUCGGAUUGUAAAGCACUUUAAGUUGGGAGGCGUUACCAACAGAAUAAGCACCGGCUAACUUCGUGCCAGCAGCCGCGGUAAUUC
rnacentral:rRNA from 1 species